CGAGCAACCUACCCUUGACACCGGAAUAACAGCUGGAAACAGCUGCUAAUACCGGAUACGACCUCCGAUGGCAUCAUCUGGAGGUGGAAAGCUCUGGCGGUCAAGGAUGGGCUCGCGGCCUAUCAGCUUGUUGGUGAGGUAACGGCUCACCAAGGNUUCGACGGGUAGCCGGCCUGAGAGGGCGAUCGGCCACACUGGGACUGAGAUACCGGCCCAGACUCUACGGGA
rnacentral:rRNA from 1 species